CCCUUAGAUGUUCUGGGCCGCACGCGCGCUACACUGAUGCAUUCAACGAGUUUCUUCCUGGUCCGAGAGGAAUGGGUAACCUUUUGAAAGUGCAUCGUGAUAGGGAUAGACUAUUGCAAUUAUUGGUCUUCAACGAGGAAUUCCUAGUAGACGUAGUUCAUCAGACUGCAUCGAUUACGUCCCUGCCCUUUGUACACACCGCCCGUCGCUCCUACCGAUUGAAUGCUCAGGUGAGCCAUUCGGACUUUCAUCAUGCUGGUUUCCAGUUUUGAUGAAGGAAAGUCUUGCGAACCUAAUCAUUUAGAGGAAGGAGAAGUCGUAACA
rnacentral:rRNA from 1 species